rnacentral:rRNA from 1 species
AUUGAACGCUGGCGGCAGGCCUAACACAUGCAAGUCGAACGGUAACAGAAAGCAGCUUGCUGCUUUGCUGACGAGUGGCGGACGGGUGAGUAAUGUCUGGGAAACUGCCUGAUGGAGGGGGAUAACUACUGGAAACGGUAGCUAAUACCGCAUAACGUCGCAAGACCAAAGAGGGGGACCUUCGGGCCUCUUGCCAUCGGAUGUGCCCAGAUGGGAUUAGCUAGUAUGUGGGGUAACGGCUCACCUAGGCGACGAUCCCUAGCUGGUCUGAGAGGAUGACCAGCCACACUGGAACUGAGACACGGUCCAGACUCCUACGGGAGGCAGCAGUGGGGAAUAUUGCACAAUGGGCGCAAGCCUGAUGCAGCCAUGCCGCGUGUAUGAAGAAGGCCUUCGGGUUGUAAAGUACUUUCAGCGGGGAGGAAGGGAGUAAAGUUAAUACCUUUGCUCAUUGACGUUACCCGCAGAAGAAGCACCGGCUAACUCCGUG